UACGGAGGUGGCAAGCGUUGCUCGGAAUCACUGGGCGUAAAGGGCGCGUAGGCGGGGAGGUAAGUCGGGUGUGAAAUCCCUCGGCCCAACUGAGGAACUGCGCCCGAGACUGCUUCUCUUGAGUCCCGGAGAGGAAGAUGGAAUUCCCGGUGUAGCGGUGAAAUGUGUAGAGAUCGGGAGGAACACCGGUGGCGAAGGCGGGUCUCUGGGCCGAUA
rnacentral:rRNA from 1 species